rnacentral:lncRNA from 1 species
AUGGAAAGAUUGGAGGAGGACGAAGAUUUGCAGUUGGAACUGGAAUUGGUGGUACCAAUAACAGAUACUGUGGCAAUUGAUUAAUUAGAUAGGCCAGAGGGAUCACAAUUUUUGUGGAGAUUUGUUAGAUAAUUUUUAGAUAGGUAUCAAUUGAGUGUUUGCGAGGACGCUGUACAAAUAGGAGUGGGGCUAUGUAGAAUAGAUAUUAAUUCGUUUUUGAAAGAUAUUGGUAAAAUAUAUUAAUAGUCCAUAUAAUAGAAAAUUCAGGAGGAUGGAUGAGUGAUUUAGUUAUUAAAAGUGGUUAAUUAUAGAAUUAUGAUUAG